GGAAACGACUGCUAAUACCGCAUAAGCCCACGGAUCGGCAUCGAUCUGAGGGAAAAGGAGCAAUCCGCUUUGAGAUGGCCUCGCGUCCGAUUAGCUAGUUGGUGAGGUAACGGCCCACCAAGGCGACGAUCGGUAGCCGGACUGAGAGGUUGAACGGCCACAUUGGGACUGAGACACGGCCCAGACUCCUACGGGAGGCAGCAGUGGGGAAUAUUGCACAAUGGGGGAAACCCUGAUGCAGCGACGCCGCGUGGAGGAAGAAGGUCUUCGGAUUGUAAACUCCUGUUGUUGAGGAAGAUAAUGACGGUACUCAACAAGGAAGUGACGGCUAACUACGUGCCAGCAGCCGCGGUAAAACGUAGGUCACAAGCGUUGUCCGGAAUUACUGGGUGUAAAGGGGGCGCAGGCGGGAAGACAAGUUGGAAGUGAAAUCUAUGGGCUCAACCCAUAA
rnacentral:rRNA from 1 species